rnacentral:rRNA from 1 species
AUGGCCGCAGUAUUUUGACUGUGCAAAGGUAGCAUAAUUAUUAGUUUUUUAAUUGAAAGCUUGUAUGAAGGGUUGGACGAGAUAAAAUCUGUCUUUAUUUAAAUUAAAAUAGAAUUUAACUUUUAAGUCAAAAGGCUUAAAUGUUUAUAAAAGACGAGAAGACCCUAUAGAUCUUUAUUAAAUUUAAACUUUGAUAAUUUAAGAUUAUUUUAAUUUAAAGUUUUAAUUUAAUUUUAUUGGGGUAAUAUAAAGAUUAAAUAAAUUCUUUUUAUUAAUAACAUUAAUUUAUGUAUGUAUGAUCCAUUAUUAUUGAUUAUAAGAUUAAGUUACCUUAGGGAUAACAGCGUAAUUUUUUUGGAGAGCUCAUAUCGAUAAAAAAGUUUGCGACCUCGAUGUUGGAUUAAAAAUUAGCUUGGGUGCAGAAGCUCAAGAUUUUGGUCUGUUCGACCAUUAAAUUUUUACAUGAUCUGAGUUCAGACCGGCGUAAGCCAGGUCGGUUUCUAUCUUUAUUUAAAUAAAAUAUUUUAGUACGAAAGGACCAAGUAUUUAAUAUAAUUAUAUUUAUUUUUUGAAUAAUAUU